AUCCUAAAUAGAACCUCCUUCCCUGACCAGAAACCUCCACUUCCCUGCAGGACCCCCAUCCUGACCUGGGCCCUCUCUCCUCACCUGUGGGCCCCAUCCUAUCUUGGAUCCCCUCCUGACCUGGGGGCCCCUUCCUCUGAUCCGAGCCUCCCUCCUCCCCAUUCUGGGCCCCUAAUUCUGACUCACCAUCCCCAAUUCCUUACCCAGGACCCCCGUUCUUAUCCGGGGUUGGCCCUGACCUCUCUCUACCCACAGAACACGACCCUGGACCUCCUAGACCGGGGGCUGCAGGUCCAUGUGGUGGUGGACGCCUGCUCCUCACGCAGGUGAGAGGGCCCCUGCCUGGGUGGGUGCACGUGGGGGCCAUCAGGGGCUCCCAGGAAGGGCCACAGGCGGCAUUCCCACCAGGGUGCCUGCGUGUCUGGGUGUCCAGACUGCGGCGUCCACACCAACCUUCCCUCCCUCCCUCCCACUCACAGCCAGGUGGACCGGCUGGUGGCUCUGGCCCGCAUGAGACAGAGUGGUGCCUUCCUCUCCACCAGCGAAGGGCUCAUUCUGCAGCUUGUGGGCGAUGCCGUCCACCCCCAGUUCAAGGAGGUAAUGCCCGCCUGGCCGCCCCCACCUCCCCUGCAUCUGUCAAAGGUCUUGUCUUUGGGCUCUGAGAAUACAUCUCGGCACCAGCAGGCUGCCGCCUCCAGGGGGAGCCAGGUUCUUGGAGGGGAGGCUGCUGGUCACUGUCACUGCCAUAAAUCCAUGAAAGGAGCCCACAGAUGGACCAUAAGGGCCACAGAGAACAAUAAAAUGGGGGAGGCAAUCCAGAGGGUCAGGGCACAGAGGAGGGGGUUUGUAUUGGAGGGUCUGGGGGGCAUCCUGGAGCAGGUGACUUUAGAAUGAACUGAAGGAGGGAGUGACCAGGCGGACACUGGGGAAGAACAGGUCAGCAGAGACCCUCUAGAUAGAAGCCCCUUGACCCGUCCACACCCAUCUCCAACUCUCCAUCUCCUCCGCCUCUGCCCCUUCCGGCCCGGGUGCCCCUCCUCCAGUUUCUCAGACUCCACUGGCCACCCUGCUACCGGGGUCAGCCAGGUACUGGGCCCCCCUGCUUCAAGCCAUUGGCCCUCAGGAUGCUGGAGAGGCCCCAGACCUUGACAUUCCCAGGCCCUCCCAGGUCUGCUCCUUACCUUCCUUCUAGUUCAGCUCUGUGGGACAUUCACCGAGCACCCACUCUGUGCCAGCCACUGUGGUGAGCCCUGGAGUCUGCAGCAAUCCAUGUUCAGUGACACAUUGUGACCCCCAGCUGGGGCAGGAGUUGCAGAGGGAUGAGCAAGAGUGGCAGAGGUGGCCCUGAAUUCUGAGCUGCCGGGGAAGGGGGCAUCAGGCACUCACAGUGUUCCCAGGGGAGGGGGACUGAGCUUUCUUUGAGGAGCUGUAGCAGGCCAGGGUGAGCACCACGCGGGAGGAGCCAGCAGCCUGUCUUCACGCAGGAGUCAGAGCCCAGAGGUUUGAGAUUUCAGCCACGGGCAGCCAUCAGGGUUUGAUGCAGGGGAGCUGGCCAUAUCAGAUCGGCAGUUUACAAAGUUCUUUCUGGCCCUGUGUGACCAGUGGAUUAGGGAGUGUGGCAUAGAGGGGAGGAGGGAGACCUGUCAGUAAGGAGGUUAAUUUGGGCGCCCAGGCAAGCGGUGAUGAGGCAGUGAGGAGCUCAACCAGUCACGUGUAAUGAAAGGGAGGCCCCAGGAAAAGUCUUGAGAAGAGGGAGUGUUGUCUUGGGCAGCUGCUAGCCAGAAGGUCCGAGAGAUGAAGACGGAGAGGUGUCCCUCAGAUUUGUCAUCCAUGGAGAUCGGGACCCUAGACGCUUCCUGACCCAUCGCCCCCUGCCCUUACAGAUCCAGAAACUCAUCAAGGAGCCCGCCCCAGACAGCGGACUGCUGGGCCUCUUCCAAGGCCAGAACUCCCUCCUCCACUGAACUCCAACCCUGCCUUGAGGGAAGACCACCCUCCUGUCACCCGGACCUCAGUGGAAGCCCGUUCCCCCCAUCCCUGGAUCCCAAGAGUGGUGCGAUCCACCAGGAGUGCCGCCCCCUUGUGGGGGGGGCAGGGUGCUGCCUUCCCAUUGGACAGCUGCUCCCGGAAAUGCAAAUGAGACUCCUGGAAACUGGGUGGGAAUUGGCUGAGCCAAGAUGGAGGCGGGGCUCGGCCCCGGGCCACUUCACGGGGCGGGAAGGGGAGGGGAAGAAGAGUCUCAGACUGUGGGACACGGACUCGCAGAAUAAACAUAUAUGUGGC
rnacentral:lncRNA from 1 species